CAAAGCUGUGAGAUUACCACAUCAUCCUUCCUUCCCUUUCUCAGAUGACUGUAAAAUCAUGCUGGCACAUCAACACCGUGACAAAUGGGUCCUCAGCACCAACUAGCAGAGCCUAGAAGAUGGGCUGGGCGAGGGUGUGAAGGAGCAGAACUCUUGAGCCCAUCAAAAUGGAAAUACUAUCUUACUAUGGAGGAGAUGAUUUCUCCAUCAGAGGGACCAAGAGAUAUGAGAAAGUAGGAUCCACAGGACCCAAGAUCCUCGGAAGUGGGUAGAGGAAUUUAGACAAGGCAUAGCCAUGAUGAGUUGCCUCUGUUCCAUGAUAUCUGGGCUUCGGCUGGGAAGACUCAAAAGCUGAGGAUGACUUGACUGCUGGAAUCUGGUGGCUUCACUUGCAUGGCCGGUGGCUGAUUCUGGAUGAUGGCUCAGACCCCCUCCUUGGCUGUCAGCUGGAACAAAUACAGGAACACCAAUAGACCAUUUCCCAGCCCCUUGCAUCCAGGUUGGACCAAGAGACUAGUUUACCUGCUGGGCUUUGAGCAGAGGUGACUGAGCAGAAGUGCCACAUGUCACAUCCGGCUGAGGUGGGUAAGAGCUGUGGGUUCUCUCACUCUCUUCUCCCUCACCUGUAGCUAGAAGCAGGACAUCCAGCAACAGGGACAAGUGGUGGAGAAGUCACAAUAUGGAAGGAGCCUGGCUUCCUGAGUGACCACUAGAGCGAGACCUUCCUCUCAUGCUCCUGCCACCCGAGAUGUGGGGGAGGGGUUAAGACUCCACUGUGUUGAGCCAUGAGGUUUGGGGUUGUUAUAACGUUUAGUCUACCCUGACUAAUACCUCCCUGAACCUGUUUCCUUACCCGUACAGUGGGGUACUAGCUGUAGCUACCUUUGGGUGCCCUGUGAAUUAAGUGAAAUAAUUUGAUGCACAGUGCCUGGCACAAAGUAAGCGCCCCACAAAUGUUGGUUAUUUUUAAUAAGUGAAUGUGAAUGCCAGUCAGAAGAGAGGGCAGGUUUAUUUCAGUGAAGUAGGACUGUCAUUCCCAUUAUCACCAUCAUCAGAAUGGCACCUGCUACGUACUGAGCACCUGCUGGGGACAGGCUCUGUUGUAGGGAUGCUACACUUUUGUUCCUUCCAGUCCCCUGAGGUGGGUAUUCUUAGUCUCAAUGAGGAGCCUUGGACCCUGGGGCUCUGUAACCUCAAAGCCUGACUCCUUUUACUGCAGGGAUGACACCAUAUAUAUUUUUGGGACACUUAUGUGACACUUAAAGAAGAGACAUGAGGCCUCCAUCUACUUUCCUUCUUGCUGGGGAAGCACUGUGUUUUUCGUUUUGAGACUUUCUCUACUUCAAGUUAUAAGGAUUUGCUUUUAUAAAUUAAUCUUGGCUACAGCUGGGCACCAAGUAGGGAAGGCCCCAGCUUCCUCCCCUGCUCCAGGGUCCUGUUGCUUCUCUGUUCUUUUGAACUCUACAGACUCUAAGUGGAGUCAGUGGGCAGAAAAGGCAGAAAACCUGGCUGGUUCUCAAGGACGCAGCCUGUGAAUGAGUCCUGUGAGUCUCCCUUCAGCUUAAGACUUCUUGUGAGCAGAGCAGAUAAUUUAAAGCCCUCUUAAAGACACUCACUGAUAACCCGAGGUGGGAUUAUAACUCCAAAGUGGCUUCCCCCCCCCUUCCCCUGUGUAACUCGCCAGAAGCACCUUACAUUUCUUUAUUUCUUUGUAGAGUAAAGGAAGAUUUAUUUGCAAUUUCAUAAGCAUUAGGAAAGCUCAUUUCAACUUCUGAGCUGUUGGUACUUAGAAUUCAGAUACCAGACUUCCCAGAUGAAUCACUUUUACUAGAUUAAACAAUGAUUGAUUUUUCUUCACAAUUAUGUGUUAAUUUGCUCCCUCUUCCCCUUUGAGAUACCCACUUUGGUUUUAGCAACAUGACCCACCCCACAGACCAGUAGAUCUGUAAGUGCGGAUUCAGUUAGCAGCAUCGUGAGGGUGUCCCUGGACUGCAUUUGCCUGCAUGUUAACAAGGCAAUUCUGCUCACACUUGUUGGAGUGGUGCCCUUGCACUGUGCGUGCUGAGUCCAGAUUGCAGGGUUUAUACACACAAGGGUUUAUAAUACAUUUUACUUAUUCAGCUCGUCAUCUGGCUCUGAUGGAUUUGCAAACACAAACAUUCAUUUUUAUUCCUUUUUAUGUCACAGGUAGUUUCUCUGCAAAAGGGAAGACUGCUAAAACUGACUUCCAUACUUAAGAUUAUCCUUGAAAUAUAAAUAUGUUCAGGAAACCAGAGCCUUGCUCACACGGUGCUAGAACAAUGGGUAAACUUUGCUUUCCUCUAGAGAAGAAAAUAUUUUCCACAAUAAAACAUUGAUCAUAUUGGUUUAGAGCCUGAAUUAAAAAAAAAAAAAAAAGAAAACGUUGAAAACUAUUUUGCACUUUAAAAGUAAUAUUACUAGAAUAUAAUUUUUCCUAAAUAAAAAAUAUCCAAAGGGCCAUUUAGCAACUUACUGUGUAUACAUUUACCCAUAGUCCUAUAGUCCCUACAUCUCAGGGUGAAAAAAACAAAAAUAAAUGUAUUAGUUUGUAUAUACUAGUGUUCUUUUCUUCAAUUGUCUAAUCAAACAGAUUACUAGCUAUUUCAAAUGUUAAAAUAAUGUAUAUGUUCUCUAUGAUAUUUAUA